UUAUUUGUUAUAUCAAUGGUGAAUCCUAUUACAUUUUUUCUAAAGGAGCUUGUACUCCAUCUUAUUAUAUUGCAUCUAAUAAGUUGGGAGAUUGCAUCACACAAUGUCAAAAACAUCAUCCAAGUAACCCGGUAAAAAGGAAAAAAUGCCUUCAGGAUUGUUGCGUCAUCGAAUGUCGCAUGCGACAUCCUUAUGACACCGAAAAGCUUCGUGAAUGCUAUAAGGUUCUUUAUGUUAUGUAUGUUAAGUAAUUUAGUAAUGAUAGGCAUCUAAGUUAUUUUUAUUUGUAUCCUCUUAAGAUUUUGUGAGUAUUAUUAGUUUUGAGUUUUCUUUUCAUUAUUGCAAAAGUUAGAUGCGAUGUUUUGUUCUUUCUAUGUACUAUAUAAUUGGAGUUUAAAUUAGUGCUAGUGCUACCAUUUGUGUUAGGGAAAUGAGGUUUAUAUUUCCUAAAGUUGAGUUUUAAGGCCAAAGAUUUGUUUAUCACAACUUCGUUCAAGUUGAAAUUUAAAUAAAUUAUCCAACAAACACAAAACUUUAAGCUUUUUGUUCAAACUGAGUAGUUUUUUAUACA
rnacentral:lncRNA from 1 species